AUGCACCCCUCCUCUCGACCCUCUGUGCCCCCACGUUCCCGCAGGUUUUUCAAUAGGCGUACGGAGGUAAAACCAAGCCAAGGGGCUAAGAGGGAGGACAAAAACAUGAACACAGCAUCUUCAUCCCCUCGUCGUGGCACUCGGGGACCACCUGAGUCUUCCAGGUUGAAGGGCCCCAGUCAAGGUGCACGAGCACUAGUGGUUAAAUCCAAACUGGUGCGGCCACAGAAGAAUGGUGCUCACGCAAUACCAGCAAUCUCAAAACCAAAAAGUGGACACACUGUUUCAAACCUAGUCCCAGCUGUGGAUCCAAACUGUAAUGAGCCCAGCCUACCUUGUCUGUGUUGUGAUGGCCAUUCACCUCAGGAUAGCAACAGCCUUUUUAAUCACAAUCUUAACAACAAUAACACUGCAAAUAUCAGGCAACAAAUGAAGCUGACACCCCCACCACCCCCACAGAAGGAAUUGGCAGUCCCAAAAAAAGACAUCAAAGAAGAUGAGAGUAAGCCAGAAGUAAAACAACCCCAUGUCAUCCCAGUGGAGGAGAGACAGGAGGACAAUGGCAAUGUGGAUGAAAAAGAGGGUGGCCAGCUCAAAAAUGAUGACAGUAGUGUAAAUGUGAAUGCUAAUGUUGAUGAGAAUGGCAAUGGCAAUUGUAAUGGUGAAAAUGGUGAAGAUGAUGAAGAUGACAACGACGACGAAGAUGAUGAUACUCUUGUCCCUUCUUGCUGCAACUGUCCAGAAUCCAUGCUGAACUUCUCCCUUACAUCUUUUACCUCAUCUUCAUCCACAUCCAUCAGCAGCUGCUCAGAUCUGGAGUGUGACUGUCCUGAUACACUUUCAUUGUCAUCCCAGGACCAAGAGGCCACUGAAUGCCAUCCGUCAUCUCGUUCCCCGGUCUCCAGUUGUCCUGCCUUUCAGUCCAAUGCCUUACCACUAGAUCUCAACACUUCUGCAAGAUCACCUUGCCCUUCUGAUGAAGGCUAUCCCUCAGCCCCUUGCUCUCCGUCCUCUGACUACAUAGAGAGCAAGGGAUCAGAAGAAGGAAAAUGUAUUAAAGUGGAUCUCCUCCAUUUUUUAGACUCCAUAGAAGAGUUGGGAAAAAUGGAUCUGUUCUACCGCAUUGUUAGGCUGGCACACUGGGAACUGGAUGGUGAGCUGAUCAUCAGAGAUAGAUUGGAUCACCAGCAGAAGCUUCAGAGGGUUAACAAAGAGGUGAAGUUGGCUUAUCUUGUGAAACUUCAGGAGGAAGGUUUAGACUUUGAUGAUGAGGAUAUCACUGGAGUUUUGGAUGAAAUGGGCAACAUUGACAUUCCAUGCAAGUUGUAUAAAAGCAACAAAUCAAGUGAAUCCCAGGAAUUUUCUGAUGCAGGGGUAGAUAUGACAGCCCCUUCUGAUCUUGAUGAAACCCCUGCCUCGGAUUCACUUGCUCCAUCACCAUUGGAGCCUCCUCCUCUGCCCCCAAAACCUCCAACGAGGCAUGUGAGUGCCCACUCAGAAUCACACUCUUACGAGAACAUCAGCGGACAUGUUUUCUCAGUCUCAUCAACCAAUGACGCUACUAAUGUCUCUACAAGAGUUCCUACCAUGCCUGCAUUGUCAUCCUCACCCCCAGCUUUAAAACCUCCUGCCCUUCCUCCUCCUCCAUCACAGCCUGUGCCCUACUUCACCCUAAAUACAGACAGACCUGCUCUCACCUCCCCCACACCACCCAUUCCUCCUCCAAGAAGACGUCAUAAAGCCCGUCUAGAAGCUCAGAGACUUGCUGAGCUUGAAAGAGAAAAGACUCCUCUGUCCCUUCCACCGCCAGUGUCCAGACCUCCUCCAUUGCCACCUCCACCUGCGAUGUCCUCGCCUCCAGCUGUUCCAUCUCCACCAUCACUCCCGCAGCCUCCAUCUUUUCACACUCUGGAUGUGGAAAUCCGAAAGUUGCUUGCGUUAGCAGGCCUCACUCAAGCUGAAUUGCUUAAACUUAGUCCCGAGUUGGGUGUUUGUGUAGAUGUUGUCCUGGACAAUGAGCAACAGCCAAUGUCUGAUGACUCUCAGAUUGGAGAAAUCAGUGUAAACAGGACACACAAGGAAGAAGGAGUAGAUAAGGGGUUGCAUUCCAGAUUGAAAGAAGGAUCCAUAUUUGGGAAAGACAGGUCUACAGGUGCAAAUGAAUUACAUACUCUCAGUGAAAAGGAAAUUUGUAAAGAUGAACAGAAGGAAGCAAACAGGACAACAUCCUUCACAGAAAUGGCAAGACGACGUAAGAGAAAUGGUGGACACUGUAAUCAUAGCUGCAGCUGUGGUUUUGGAUCCAAUGUAAGCCUAUCUCCCAGCUCAUAUUAUAGCACUGAUCUUAGCAAUUCAAACAUCCCGAAUGUCAGCUUUGGAAGCUUUGAUUAUACUUCAAUGAUUUCUGAUACCCCUCCUCCUCCACCUCCACGACCAUUGCCCCCUUGUCCACCAAUUUCCUCCAAUCCUCCUGAACUUCCUCCUCUCAAGCCUUGCACUCUGCCUGCCAAUGCAUCUCGUCCAGAUAGGUUUGACUGGCUGAUAGCCUUCACCCCAGAUACAGAGUCGCCACCUCUUGAGAUGCGAAAAUCAUUGAACGAUGGCAUGUUGCAAAAAGGCCCAUCUUCAACUUCAGGCUCAAAAGUCACAACCUUUAAAGAAUUACGCAACAGAAGCAAACAGAGCUCCCAGCCAGCUCCUGUUCAACCAGAACCUGAUCCAACUGUUAUCCACCCCAGACCCUGA
rnacentral:lncRNA from 1 species